CAGCCGCCGCGGUAAUACGGAGGGUCCGAGCGUUAAUCGGAAUUACUGGGCGUAAAGAGUACGUAGGCGGCUUUUCAAGUCGGAUGUGAAAGCCCUGAGCUUAACUCAGGAACUGCAUUCGAUACUGGAUCGCUAGAGUAUAUUAGAGGAUAGUGGAAUUUCAAGUGUAGCGGUGAAAUGCGUAGAUAUUUGAAGGAACACCAAUGGCGAAGGCAGCUCUCUGGCUCGUCACUGACGCUGAGGUGCGAAAGCGUGGGUAGCAAACAGGAUUAGAUA
rnacentral:rRNA from 1 species